GAAUCCUUAUCAGCGGAGCGUAAAAAUAUUGACUAUAAAAUAUAGUUGAGAACAUAUAUAGAAUGUGACCUAAUCGAGAAUGAGAUUAUUGCGAGCAGAGGCAGAUUUCGAUUUGAAAACUAUUCAGAUCCUAUUAUUUUUAGAUUGCCCCCAAAAACCUCUAAUCGUCGCAAUUAAUAAAUGACUGUUUUGCCAAUAAACAGAGAAAACCUCUCACCCUUAUUACCCUUUAGACACACAAGAUCCUUGAACUCGAACAGCAAAGAUGCUGCCUCAUCAAAAGAUGCUUAGUUCCCCUUUUUUCGUCAACGAUUUUUGGGUGCAAAAAUACCCGAAAAAAAUUAAUUUCUUUUAAAGAGUUCAUC
ensembl:ncRNA lncRNA:CR45582 long non-coding RNA:CR45582